rnacentral:lncRNA from 1 species
GCGCUGUGGAACCGCCUCCUGCUAGAGCAGCGGGCUGGCGACGGUCCUCGCCGGGGCGGGAAGCGGCUCAGGCUGCCCUCGCUGGCCUGCGGCGGCGCGGCUGGAAGCGCGGGCCACUCGUGCGUGGGUCACUCAGGACUGCGCCUCGCGCGACUGUGUGUGCAGGAAACAAGCAGGAAAUACCCUAAAAGAGAAUGAAGCGCCAUGUUGAGGGUCGCGGACGUCGCGAGUGCUGUGGGAAUGUGGGCUGAGGUGGAGAGUUAUGGUAGCCCGUGUUACAGGCUCAGGGGUCUGAAAGAAGCCUAAUCGUGGAGGCGGCAUCUGAGGAGGGUCUUGAAGGCUGGGCAGGCAUUUGCCCGACAGAGAUGGAGGAAGCUAGUCCUGUCUGAUGGAGGAAACAGGGCGGAGGCGUGGAGGGAGCCGUGCAGCGCUGGUGUGAGGAGCAGCGAGCAGGCCAGGCCUGUAAAGCAGAGUGAGGGAACCAGGAUAGAGAAGGCAAGUCGGGGUCCUGUGGUCGCUGAAGAAUUUGAAUGAAAUCAGUAAACAGGUGAGAGGGAUCCAUCGCAAGAGCAUGGGAUGAAAGGAGGAGUAGUCCACGGUGAUUCCUCUGCAGCGGUGGGUGUUAUUAAUCGCGUAUGUGACACCAAAACCACCCCACUCAAGCUGUGGCUCUUUCCCUAAAGUAGAAAACCGAGACCAGUUGGGUUCCAAGCAUCCACGAAGAUCUUAUUAAAUUCGUGAUCCCUGGUGGCACCAUGGAGUCAGGAUUGGCUCAUCUCAAACCUGACUCAGAAACAAAACCGUCACAAUGUGCAGAGAUGAGCGUCCUUACCGCUAUCAACGUAUUUUCUGGUGUUUUCACAGUGCUGCGCUUCCUAAUCCCCAUUCCAUGGCAAUCCACAUGCCAUGAUGCCCGGAGUCAUUAACAAAGGAGACACACAGGGGCUCCUCACGUUGGCUUUCCAGGGUUUUGAUGAAAAUCUGUUUCCUCGUCUCAUACAAUGUGGUUAGUAAUAGUAUCAUUUAGGGUUGAAGAAUUAAAUGGUACGAGUUAUAUAGGGUGCUUAUUAUAACCUACAUGGAAAAUGCCUAGGAUAUGUUAGCUAUGCUCAUCACCAACAUCGUUAUAUGAUGGUAAUAAUCAGAUAGUCAGGAAGCCUGACACCAAGAAAAUGGAUACAUGCUCUGAAGGAAUGAAUGUGGAGAGAUCAGAAGGUCAAGAACAAAGUCGUACAAUAUGUCUACAGUAAAGGGAUAGAGAAAAGAAAGGCUAUAAAAGAAGGAAUGAAACAGAGUUAAAUUAUAGAAAUCAAAGCUAAGGAGAAUUUCCAGAAAGGGUAGUAUCAUUUAAUAUCAUAGAAGUUUAGGAGCCCAAGAUGGAAAAAAGGCCUCUGGGUAACUGACAUUGAGGCAGUCUUUGGGGAAGCUCCAUUUCCGAUAGAGAAGUAGACUGAAAGUCAGCUUGAAGCAGGGACUAGGUGAAGAAGCUGUUGGCUGGUCGCAUGGGGAAAUAAAUAAGGGAUGGCAUAUGCCGUAUUUCUGGAUUUCUUUCUUUCUUGCCCAGCCUCUAUAUAUGCACAGAGUUUGGCGAAAACUUACAAAAAAUAAAAAUGAAACCAAUUUCGUUUGUAGACCCAAAUACAAUGCUUUCUGUUAGAAUCAAGAUAAAUUCAUGCCUCUCCCUUCUAUUCAAACCGUCAGUUUUGAAAUUAAACAUCAGCUUUUCUUCUUCAUUAAAAUCAUUUUCAGCUCUUCCCAUUGAUGGUUUGGGGGAGUUGCAUAAGCAGUCAGGUCUUGAUGAGUAGAGGAGGAGGGAACAAACACUUUCAGCAAAGGCAGAAUUCUGAAAUUCUGCUCAUAUUUUUUUCCAGUAACUUUCCUAUGUUUGUGAGGUUAUUCAGUCAUAAAGAUCCUAGUGAAAUGUUUUUCAAGCUUUACUAAUCAUAAUCACUGUGGACAUUUGUUUAAAAUGUGUAUUCCCAGGCCUCUCACCUGGUGAUUCUGAUUCAGGAGAUCAUGGAUGGGACUCAGCAUACAUGUGUUUGACAAGUAUCACAAGUGGUUCUUAUGGUCAGGCAAAUUUGGGAAACUAACCAGGAAUUUAUGUUUUUAUGACUGGCAGCUAGAAAAGAUUCCUAGAGUCUUUGCUUUUUGAAAAUAAAAUAUUUCUUUUUUAAAAGGAAAAUUGUAUGACUAGAUACAGCAUUUAUACAUGUGAUAAAUGUACUAUACUGUGUGCUUUUGUCAUAUUUACAGUUAAAGAUGUGUAAGAACACUCUGAGAAAAAUUGUAUAUUAAAUGAAAAGAGGGGUAAGUCAGGGUGGGGGAGAAAUGAGAAGGGUGUGCUUAUUGUUGCUAAAAGUUAGAAAAGCCAGAAUGAUAGCAUCUAAGGUUGCAAAUAGCACACUGUAAGUUGAGGGAGCUUCACAAUCAUGUCUGAAGCCUUCUUUGAUAUGCUGAGUUGUAAACAGUGGCUUUGGACAAGAUUUGAGGGAGAAACCAACUAUGCUUUAAAGUGUUCAUUUAAAAGUCUUUAAUUAAAGGAAAGUCUUUGCAUUUACUUGAGCUAAUUUAACUUCAGGACUUUAAGAAAUUACUAGCCCUUAACCUCUUAAAAAUUGUCUUUCAUUUCAAAUGAAAGUUUAAGGUGGCCUUUAUGUUCGAUUGGUAUACUUGUGCGAAGACUUAACAGCAAGGUACUGUACAAUUCUAAAUGUUUACUUCUUAAUUUUGCUGGAAGAAAUAUACUACUCAAUUGAUUAUUUUUAAAGCAAAGUAAAACAAUUUAUUUUGACAAGUGACACUGUAUUUUCCUAGUUUUUUGGUGGCAAAGAUUAGUCUUAACAUCACUAAUCAUCAGAGAAAUGCAAAUCAAAACCAAAACGAGAUACCAUCCUACACCAGUCAGAAUAGCUACUAUUCAAAAAUUGAAAAACAACAGAUCUUGGGAGGCUGUGGAGAAAGGGGAACAUUUACACAUAAUUGGUGCAAAUGUAAAUUAGUUCAGCCACUGUUCAAAGCGGUUUGGAAAUUUCUCAAAGCAUUUAAAAUAGAAUUACCAUUCAAGCCAACAAUUCCAUUACUGGUAUAUAACCCAAAGAGAAUCAGUUAUUCUACCAAAAAGACAUAUGCACUUGCAUGUUCAUCGCAGCACUAUUCACAAUAGCAAAGACAUGGAGUCAGCCUAGGUGCCCAUCGACAGUGGAUUGGAUCAAUAAAAUGUGGUACAUCUACACAGUAUGAUUAGGCCAUUCUUGCAUUGCUAUGAAGAAAUACCUGAGGCUGGGUAAUUUAUAAGGAAAAGAGAUUUAAUUGGCUCACAUCUCUGCAGGCUGUACAGGAAGCAUGGUGAUGGCAUCUGCAUGGCGCCUGUGGAGGCCCCAGGGAGCUUUUACUCAUGAUGGAAGGCACAGAGGGAGUAGGCACAUCACAUGGUCCGAGGAGGAGCAAGAGAAAAUGGGAGUGGGGCAUGCCUCGGGCGGUUCAGCUCUGUUGACACUCAUGGUGCUGCUUGUGGGCUGAUGCAGGAGUCUACUGUGAAGGGACUCAGUAUGGUGGAAAAAAAUAUUCAACUUCUGCUCACUUUAUUCAGUGUAAGAACUGUAAGGAGGACUUUCUGCAUAUAAUACCAUUAUGGCCUGGGGGAGGAGUAUCACAGUCACAGAGUACUGGUUCCCUUACUGUCCAAGCAUGGUUCUACUCUUUGCAGUCCAAAGGGGCUUCAUAGACUGACUCAUGUAUUCAGGGUUCGUUAGCUCUUGUAAAGGUAAUUUUAUAUGUGGAUAGUUGUUCAUAUAGAUGUGUCCGUAGGGGUAAGAUUACUGGAGAGAUCGACUCCACUACCUUGCUCUGCCCAAAUCCUUCCCCUUUCCAACAAGAGUUUGCCACCUCCUAGUUUUCUUUUUUCUUAACCAAACUAAGUUUAGCCUUUUAAUCCUUAACUCUCCUCCACUUCUAAUGCCAUUGCUUCUUUGUAUGCUUAUUGUAUUUUCCAUGCUAUAUGACUUUCAGCUGGUUAUUUACAGUAUGUAAGUUUUAAUAUCCUGUAAAAGGGGGAUAAUAAUAGCAUCCAUUUGAUAGGGAUGUUAAAGAUAUUAAAUGACACUGUCCAUGUUAAAUAACUUUUUAAGAUAUAUUGAGAUGUUUCUGUACUUCCUUGUUCUGGCCUUCUUGUUGAACCAGAGAAAUCUAUUGCCAUGAAAAGCAAUAAAAUUGUGAUAGUAGAAAUUAAAAGUGAGUAGGAACUUAUUUAAAAAUCAUCAUUCUCCUUUUCAAUGCAAAAAUAAGAACUAGAAACUUUUAAUAAGGCAAUAGUCUGAAGAAAUAACUUAUGGAAGAGAACAUGGGUUUUUUAAUCCUAAAGGGUUCUUUUAUAUAUUCAAGGGUCGAGAUUGCCUGCCUUGUAUCCUACUAAAAUUUCAAUGCAAGUUUCAGAGAGGGAGGAAAGAGUCAAAGAAAAAAUUGCACUGGAAAAAGUUAAAUAAGUAAGGAAG